GCCUGGCUGGCUCAGUUGGUAGAGCAUGAGACUUUUGAUUUUAGAGUCAUGAGUUCCAGCCCCAUGUUGAACU
rnacentral:tRNA from 1 species